rnacentral:RNase_P_RNA from 1 species
CGACCAGGUUGGACAGCCGCGGCUGGAAUGUGAAAGCAUCCAGGUGAGGAAAGUCCGGGCUCCACAGGGCAAGGAUAACAGGUAACGCCUGCCGAGGGCGACCUCAGGACAAGUGCAACAGAGAGAUGUAGCCGGUUUUCCGGUCAUAGUGAAAAGGUGCGGUAAGAGCGCACCCGCCUCAUGGGAACAUUGGGGUGCUGUAAACUCUAUCCGGAGCAACGCCGUGGAGGAACAUAAGGUCUGCCCGACCGUUCCGAGGAGGCGGCUGGAUCCCGUGGGCGACUGCGGGACUAGAUAGAUGGCUGUCAGAACAGAACCCGGCUUACGGACCUGUGUCGCAAC